rnacentral:tRNA from 1 species
UCCGAGAUCGUCUAAUGGCAGGACAGCGGUUUCUGGCACCGCCAAUCUAGGUUCGACUCCUAGUCUCGGAACCA